GAUGAAGAACGCAGCGAAAUGCGAUAAGUGAUGUGAAUUGCAGAAUUCAGUGAAUCAUCGAAUCUUUGAACGCACAUUGCGCCCGCCAGUAUUCUGGCGGGCAUGCCUGUUCGAGCGUCAUUUCAACCAUCAAGCCCCCGGCUUGUGUUGGGGACCUGCGGCUGCCGCAGGCCCUGAAAACCAGUGGCGGGCUCGCUAGUCACUCCGAGCGUAGUAAUACAUCUCGCUCAGGGCGUGCUGCGGGUUCCGGCCGUUAAAAAGCCUUAUUUACCCAAGGUUGACCUCGGAUCAGGUAGGAAGACCCGCUGAACUUAAGCAUAUCAAUAAGCGGAGGA
rnacentral:misc_RNA from 1 species